rnacentral:rRNA from 1 species
UAGACACCAAGGCAGGCCACGUCAAAACUCCCUUAAAAAGGACCAAACUAGUGUACCCUGGUCCCGAUGUCUUUGGUUGGGGCGACCGCGGGGAAGCACAUAACCCCCGCGUGGAAUGGAAGCACUACUAUUUUUGCUCCUACAAAUGAGAGCUCCCACUCUAGUGAACAGAAUUUCUGACCAACAAGAUCCGGCAACGCCGAUUAACGAACCGAGUUACCCU